rnacentral:rRNA from 1 species
AUGAUUAUUCACACCAAGGCCGAAAGGCUGUGUCAAAUGUUAACACAUCACCGAAAACGUGUACUGCAACCUGCUGCUCCCGCUUACCCACAUAAGGUUCUUGAUCCUGCCCUCUUUGUCAGCCUGAACUCUGCAUGUGAAAUGAGGUCCUUUGCUCCAAUUUCUGCAAACACCUCCGUCGUUUUCCUUACAUCAUCAUCUGAUUGUUUCCUGCUAAUCAUGCCACACAGAUUACACAAAGACCUCUUCGUGAAUGGCACAUUUUCCAACGAUCCAAAAAAACUGCCUACUGUGCUAUACACCUUCGCAAGGUUGACAUUAUUCUGCCGCAAGUGUUUUAUCAGGUCCCUCCUGUACACAUAA